CGUGCCAGCAGCCGCGGUAAUACGAAGGGUGCAAGCGUUACUCGGAAUUACUGGGCGUAAAGCGUGCGUAGGUGGUUUAUCGCGUCUGCUGUGGAAACGUGCCGCUUAACGGUGCGCGUGCAGUGGGUACGGGCGGACUAGAGUGCAGUAGGGGAGUCUGGAAUUCCUGGUGUAGCGGUGAAAUGCGCAGAUAUCAGGAGGAACACCGGUGGCGAAGGCGGGACUCUGGGCUGUUACUGACGCUGAGGAGCGAAAGCAUGGGGAGCGAACAGGAUUAGAUACCCUGGUAGUCCAUGCCGUAAACGUUGGGCACUAGGUGUGGGGGUCCAUUU
rnacentral:rRNA from 1 species